rnacentral:rRNA from 1 species
UACGUAGGUCCCGAGCGUUGUCCGGAUUUAUUGGGCGUAAAGCGAGCGCAGGUGGUUUAUUAAGUCUGGUGUAAAAGGCAGUGGCUCAACCAUUGUAUGCAUUGGAAACUGGUAGACUUGAGUGCAGGAGAGGAGAGGGGAAUUCCAUGUGUAGCGGUGAAAUGCGUAGAUAUAUGGAGGAACACCAGUGGCGAAGGCGACUCCCUGGACUGUAACUGACGCUGAGGCCCGAAAGCGUGGGGAGCAAACAGG